rnacentral:rRNA from 1 species
UAGGGGUGAAAGGCUAAUCAAACUCGGUGAUAGCUGGUUCUCCCCGAAAGCUAUUUAGGUAGCGCCUCGGACGAAUACCCACGGGGGUAGAGCACUGUUUCGGCUAGCGGGUCAUCUCGACUUAGCAACCCGAUGCAAACUCCGAAUACCGUGGAGUACUAUCCGGGAGACAGACGGUGGGUGCUAAUGUCCAUCGUCAAGAGGGAAACAACCCAGACCGCCAGCUAAGGUCCCCAAAUUACAGUUAAGUGGGAAACGAUGUGGGAAGGCAUAGACAGCUAGGAGGUUGGCUUAGAAGCAGCCACCCUUUAAAGAAAGCGUAAUAGCUCACUAGUCGAGUCGGCCUGCGCGGAAGAUGUAACGGGGCUAAAACUGUAUACCGAAGCUGCGGAUGCGCAUUUAUGCGCGUGGUAGGGGAGCGUUCUGUAAGUCUGCGAAGGUGGGUUGAGAAGCCUGCUGGA